rnacentral:rRNA from 1 species
UACGUAGGGGGCAAGCGUUGUCCGGAUUUAUUGGGCGUAAAGAGCGUGUAGGCGGCUAGAUAGGUCCGUUGUGAAAACUCGAGGCUCAACCUCGAGACGUCGAUGGAAACCAUCUGGCUAGAGUCCGGAAGAGGAGAGUGGGAAUUCCUGGUGUAGCGGUGAAAUGCGCAGAUAUCAGGAAGAGCACCGAUGGCGAAGGCAGCUCUCUGGGACGGUACUGACGCUGAGACGCGAAAGCGUGGGGAGCGAACAGG